rnacentral:lncRNA from 1 species
AUUCAUAGGGCGGUUCUGAUUCUUAAAUGGUUUGCCAGCAGGCUUCAGAACAGCACCUACAAAUUUCUUUUUAGUGUUGUUGUUAGAAACAGCAAACACCUCUUCAUUCUGGUCCUGCUUUCUCGCUUCUUCUUCAAUACGAAGACGAGUGAUCAGACUUUCAAGAGAGAACUCCUUAGUUUUGUGUCUAAGAAGACUCUUGAAGUCCUUCCAGGCAGGAGGCAGCUUAUCAAUAAUCACAGCUAUUUGGAACUGUUCGGGAAGUGCCAUCCCUUCAGCUAUGAUCUCGUGAGCAAUUUGUUGCAGCUCAUGUGAUUGUGCCUCAACGGACUUAUCAUCACUCAUUUUGAAAUUCAGAUGGCGGCUUACGGCGUAUUUCUUAACACCAGGCUCUUCAGUAUCAUACUUCUUCUGAAGUGCUUCCCAUAAUUGUUUAGCAGUAUCACAGUUCCUUCCAUAGAGCAAUCGAAAAACCAAAGAAGGAGGAAAGAAAGAACGAUUCGUCAACACAAACCGCGGGAGGGAGAAGAGAGGAGAGAAAACCAGAGAAGAGUAUUCGAUUCUCAAUUUUGGAGUGAAGAAUACUAUUCCCGAGCUCUCAAUUUAUAAGGAGGAUUUCUACUAGAGUGUGUGAUCUAUCCGAUGUGGGACAUAAAAUUUUCAAUUCACAUUUUACACUAGUUUCUCCAUCCUUAUGUUUACAUUCCAAAGGCUCCACAAACUCACUAGUAUACUUCAAGUUUUUUUCAUUAUACACUAG